CCUAGCACUCUAGACAAGGAAUCACUUUUUGCUCACUUCUAAGUAUGUCCACUUCAGCACUAUGUGGGUCUCGCUUAUAAUCUAAACAUUACGAUAAGCGGAAUUUGUAUCGUCAACUUAACUAAUAUUUAUUAACUUUCUUUCUCUCACCGCUGUUGAUCAUCCCCUCUCUGUCCUCGACCCGCUUUUCUCAUAGGGCCAUAGACGCACACUGCGACACUGGGCCGUAGUCUAAACUUCACCCGCCUCCGUCUCCAUGGACGGAUCGAAGGAAACGUCAACGAGCUCUGUGCUCAACUCGAGAAAUCUAGGCCUAUAAAAGUUGAAUCUGGAAAUUCAACAAGAAGAAUAGAAGAUCUGAUUACGAUUCGCCCCAUGCUGCUCCUGUACGAAGAAGGUACAUUGAUAUGAACGAUGAUACUGACGGAGGAGAAGACCGGAUUGGGGUGUUCAGGAGAAAGCUAUCUGAUGAUUUUGAUAGAAUCGUUGGAGAGAUGACAACCAAAGCCAAUAAGAAAUCAAUUAAAUCUGGUUUACUGCUAACAUCUAAUUUUUGAACGUUUUGUUUACGAACAUAGAAAGUGAACAGGAACACAAGAUUUGGGAUCAGUGGAGAAUCUUCAGAUCUUUGUAAGCUAUUAUUGAAUGGUGGGGUUUCUGUGUAUAUCGUAAUGACCAAAUAAAUAUUUUACGUAAUAUAAAAGUAAACUAUUCCUAGGAUCAGUGUUGUUUUCUGCCGAGUAGUAAACCUGAAGAUAACUAUUCCUACUCAUUUUUUCAUGUAUUUCAUAGCUGAAGCGAGAGUAGAGAUGAGCAGCUGAUUAUAAAAAGGUUAUUGCUUGCAGGAAAGAUGUGCUGCAUGCAGUGGACAUUGUUUCUCUUGUGGCUCGAAUACUGCAUAAAUCAAAGGCUCAUCUUCAAUCCAUGCUUAUGUCAAGAAAUGGCUCUUUCGUUGAAGACUUCUUUGGUCAACUGGUUGGUUCCGUACCUGAUCUGACAGAGCACUUACACAUGACAACUGCGAGGAUCCUGCGGCAUGUUAAUGGGUAAAUUGCCAAUCUACUUAAGAAAGUUAUUAGAUGUCUGUGACAAAAAAAAGUUAUUAGAUGGAUUCAAUCUCUAUCCUCCCUUUUGUGCCUUUUAUUCUUAUUCUUACUGGCCUCUGAAGUUAAAAAAAAACUGUUAUAUAACUUUUUAACUCAAUCGGUAUGUUAAAGUCAAGCCUUGGUUUUGUAUGAUAUAUGUUCUCAUUGGAGUAUGUCGACCGGAUUGCUAACUCUAAAUGGGAAGUCAAAGAGCUUGGAGUGGAGCAUAAUGAGUUUGUUACUUCCUUCUGUUACUCCAUUUACUCUUCCAAAUUUGUACCUGCAACUUUAAUUAAAUAGUGAAAUACUCAACUAUAUUUGAUGUUCAUAGUCUUACAAAAGUAUUAUUUUAGAGUUCCCGUGUAGUAUAAAAUUAUCAUUGGAGCCUACUUAUUAUCUGAGUUAAGAUUUAGAUAUUCAGCACACGGUAUUGAUGCUCUUAAAACAGAUUCUGAUCAUUCAUGGCUUCACUGCCAUCUUAUAUGUACUAAACUAUUUGAACAAACAAGUAUGUUGAUUUGAUCCUUGGGGAAUUCAAACACUACAAACACAAGGCUUGCUCACGGAGGCAUUCCACAGGAGGUAAAUGUCUCUCUGGCCUCAUCAUUAAUUCUAGGAGUUGAUUACAUUUUCUUCUCAAACUCUUAACUCUUUUUCGUAUAUAGGUUCAAAACCUCCUGCUGGAAUAUGGAAUUGAAAUAUUCGCGGAGACGCUGGUGGAAGGUCUAUCUAGAAUAAAAAUAUGCACCGAUGAAGGACGAGCUCUCAUGUCUUUAGAUAUUCAGGUACUUUUCCUCUUUGUUUGCUUUGUUAUCCAGUGUAGUUUCUUCUACACGACAUCAAGAAUGGACACGAAAGAAUGAAAGUAUCAGUUAACAUUGACAGACAUUCUGAUAUAUAAAAUAUUAAAUACACAGCGCAUCUAGAAAGGUGGUCAUGAUAGGAAAAACCUUUACUCUUUGUUGAUUAGAUAAAAGUAAAACACAAACAAUUGAUAAAUUGCAUGACAUGUCAUUUAAACAUGCGUCUGCGUUAUAGCUAUAUUGUGCAUAUGAAUGACUUUGGUUGACAAUAUCUAUCGUUUUGUAGGUUCUAAUAAACGGGCUACAACACUUUCUUCAACAAAUGUGAAACCCAAGUUACAGAUAGUGGAUACAUUUAUCAAGGUGAGCAAAACACUGACUUAUAUGGAACUGCAGACUAAUGUGCUGGUGAGACACAUUUAAAACGGAAAUCAUCACUCACCUUUUGCAGGCAUACUAUCCACCAGGGAUGGGGUAUGUCCACUGGGCAAGGGCUCAUCCGGUAAGCAAACAAAACUUCCUUUCCCUUUUAAUAGAUAGAAUAUUUGAUAAAAAUGUGUAAACAAUGAUAAAUAUACAGGAAUAUACAAAAGGACAGGUCGUAGGACUUGUGACUUUAGUAGCCACCAUGAAAGGCUGGAAGAGGAAAACGCGGCUAGAACUUGUGGAUAAGAUUGAAGCAGCUGCUGCGUAGAGAUCAAUCUAGAAGCAAGCUUCUUGAACUUCCAGCAACAGCGAGUAAUAUUUACAUGUAUUGAGAGCUGUAAAUUGGAGGAAAGACCUUCUUGAUUACUGUCGUUGCUUAUGGGUUUGUGUUAAAAAUCCUCCUAAAGUUGUACAGUCCUUAAGAGACUGUAACUCACAUUCCACCCCCUCCCUGUGUAACCGAUUAUGUAGUGCAAAACUAUUUUAGCCAUUAACAAGUGGUACGGUACAAUUUUAUGAUUAUGAACACUACCAUUUUCAGUUUUUUUUUCCUUAUUUUUGUUAUCUUAUCGACUAUUUCUAUAAUAUUAUCUAAAAAGUAAAAUGUACAUGUUAAUUAUUACACAUGGGUCAAAUCAAUAAAAUAAAAGUAUUUUAAUCAAAUAUUAUUAUUUUUCACAUGUUCUAACUAAUCAUAUUUAUUCUAAUUUUUUAAUGAAAAAAUAUUUCAAAAAUAAAAAUAUCUCAAAAUAUCUAAGGAAGGUAAUCACAAUAUUUUUUAGCAAACUAAUUAUAUAUGUAAUAUUAGGUCAUUAAAAUUAAUUUAAUAAUUAAUUUUAUUUAUAAAUAUUAAUAAUUAUAGAUGAUAUAUAAUUUCUUAUUAUAGAGUUGUUAUUUUCUUUUCAAAUAACUGAAAUUCGUAAUGAGUGAUAUUUAAUAAAUAAAUUAUUAAAUUAUUUUGUAGUUGAUAACUCUAAUUUUUACUUUUAAUCAGUUUUUAUUUUUCAAAUAAUAUGAAUGAUAGUGAAGAAUGAAACUAAAAUGGUUUUACUUAGAAUGUAUUUUUUUUUCUUUGAACCAUCUUAUACUAAGCUAAAUGUUUUCUUCAAGCUUUAGAAUCCCUUGGUUAACUCAAUCACCUCAACAUUUAGCAUCACUAUUGCUUCAACAAACUUACAUUCAUUGGUGUUCAUAGUCAUUUUUUUGGACAAGUGAUUUAGACAGUACCUAAAUACAUAUGACAAAAUUAGUACAUAAAAAUGAUUGAAUGAGCACAAAUUAAAUGAUAUAACGAUUAAAUUACUCCAAACAUUAAAUCAUUAUCCUUUUAUCUAAACCCUAACCUCUUUCUUCCUCACUUUCAUUCUACGCUAAACCAUUUCCUCCUUAUUCACAAACCUCAAGAACGUUUACCUUCGCUCCGGUCUAAAUAAUGGUGUCCACAAACGCGCUCUCUUCCGCCUCCGUCCUCUGCUCCUCACGACAGGGAAAGCUGAGUGGUGGAAACCAACAUAAAGGUCAAAGAGUAAGCUACAGGAAAGCAAGUAGAGGUUUCAGUGUUAGAGCAAGUAUAAAGGAGAUCUCUUCAAGCUGGUAUUGAUAAGUUUGCUGAUGAUGUUGGUCUCACUCUUGGCCCUAGAGGUAUUCGAUCCAAUCUCAAUGUCCGUUGUACCAAGUUGUGUCUCUCUUUUGUCUUAACUUUGUGGUUUUUUACAAGAGAGAAAUGUUGUGUUGGAUAAAUUUGGAAGCCCCAAGGUUGUGAAUGAUGGAGUAAACAACAUACACAUUUUUGGCCGACCUAUUUCAGACUUUUUUGGCCCACCACAAUUUAUUUUUAACAAAAUGCAGGAAAAACUAUAAAAAUCAAUAAUUUUGUAACUAUAUAAUUUCUAGAGUUAUAAUUUUUUUGUAGAAACAGUUUAUUGCAAGUCUAUAUUUUUGAAAUUAAUUUUGGGUAGAAUAAAAAAUAAUUAAAUAUUUUGUUGUAUAAAUUGUUAAAUUCGAAUUUUAUAUAUUUGCCUUACUAUUUGAUUUAAAUACUAACAACUACCUAAGUAAACACUAACCAAUACUAUAAACCUCAGCAGCUUUUGAACAUGAAAGCGCUAAUAACGCUAAUGGUCGAUCAAAUCAUUACAAAAAUAAGAUAUGAAAAUAUCAAUACAUAUGACUUCGCCGGUCAUUCUUUGAUCAACCUAAUCAAGUUAUGUGACUUCCAAUGUUCCAUUCAUCACUAUUAUAGAUAACACAAAAAAGAAAGUUAAAAAGACAAAAUCACCAUAUACAAAAUUACACAACGCAUCAAUAAUGUAUCCGGUAGGCUUGCGCGGAGGCUAUGCCCCUAGUUAUUAAUUUAGUUGCAAGGAAAAUAGACAAGAUCUUUGGCAACUGUCUUUUUGGCUUGGUUCACUACAUGUGAUACACAAUCAACACCAUUAUGUUAUAUAAAAAACAUAUAAAUAUGGGGUUGAAACGUCACCUAAUGCUAAUAGAAGGAGGGUUUUCGGUGCAAGGAAGAAAUUGUUUUAGAAAAUGCCAAAUAACAUAUUGAAAUAUGGCCGAUCACAAAAUAUUAGAGAAUAAUAAUGUUCAAACAGUUUUUUUAUAUGACAUGUCUAUGAAACUUGAAUUUCUUAAACCGAAUUCGCACCAAGCACUUUAUACGACAUGUCUAUGAAAAUUGAUUUUUUUUCAAAGCAUUUACCACACUUAUCGCAGGGAAAACAGACCAACCAAGAUCACUAUUCGAAGCCAAAUGCAUGCGUGUUAAAUUGCUAAUAUGAAAAUGGUAAAUUGGACAGGACGGUAAUGGACAAUUCGUAUAAAGUGAAAACCCCUGUUCAAAAUCCACUAAAAGCUUGGACUGUACUUAGUAAAAAUGUGAUUUGAUGGUUUGGCGUUUGACCGUUGGUCCAUUUCUGACGAGAAAAUAUUAUACUCUAAAACAGCUUCAAGUUUUUAAUAACGCAGUUAUGACUACUGAAAUAGUUUUUGUUAACUAAAGUCAUUGGCCUAACUAAAAUGGCCUUAUAAUUUUUGUAAAUUAGUCAAUUUUCUUUUUCUCUCGGGACCAAAUGUUUGAAACCUAAAUACAAAUUAAAAAAAUCAAAAUUAUUAAAACUUUUUUUUUCACUUUGGCUUGUAUUUUUUUCCGCCGCCACAACUCUUUUUUUUCUACCGCAUCUCUUCUUUUUCACCACAACUCUUUCUUCUCCGCCGCAAUUCUUCCUUCUCAUCUUUGGUAUGUGUUUUGCAAUUCAUCUAUGUCGUCGCCGUGACCUAAGCUCUCGCUGCCGUAGAAACGUCAUCUCUUCUCCUUCACUGCAAAGUGAAACAGUGUCUCAACUCAUUUUCCUCGUCGUGAUUCAUCGUCGUUGUGACCAUCCCGCCUCUCUGAUGCGCUCUGAAACUGGCAGGAGAAGCUUAAGAGGAACUAUGGCUAAUUUGGGCAUUUUUGCAUAUUUGGUUCCUAAACUUAUUUGUUAUUUAUUUUGUAACUCCAAUACUUUUUAAAUGUUUUUUAAAUGUGAAAAUUGGUCCUUAAUUUCAUCCCAAACUUCAGAAACUACAUUUUAACCCCUCGUAUUAGGAAUACGUCUAUGAAAAUACAAUAAAAACAACUAAAAGACACCUAAUUAAACUUUCGAAUUUGCAUUUUUAGCCCAUGUGAUAUGCAAAUAAACAAACAAAUGCAAUAAACGAGACCUAAUAUGAUCAUAACUAUAAGAAGAUACUCAAAAUCAUUAGAAUCAUCUGAUAUCGUAACAUUGUUACUACUACUACAACAAAGGUGAAUCAAUAUUCAUUACUUCUUUUAAGAUAUCGCAACGUGUACACUGUAUUUAACAUGUCCACAUGGACUCCUUUUAUCAAUAUACUAUGUACACAUCACAGUGUACAUUGUCUACCGUGUUCACAUAAUACAACACGUUAAAAACAUGAAACAUCUGCAAUUUAAACUCUAUGUCCCAUGUACAAUGGUUUCACCUUGUCCAUAUGUACACUUUUUGGACUUAUACAUAUUUACUAGUAUUAUUUACAUACCUUGUCCAUUGUUGUUUCCUGUCCAUAUGUCCAUAUACUACAUGUACAUUCACCCGUCUUUUUGGAAAAAUUGCCACGAACAGACUUUGUUUUCUAAGGCAACUGUGUAUACAACACUUCUCAAUUUCGUAAUAUUCAUCACGGGAUCUUGCCGCAAUUAUCCACUCGUUCUUUUAAUUGAACUAAACGCGUACAUCAGUUUCUUCCAUGUACACAUUUUCUUGUCUGCGUUGUUUCCACAUGUACACAUAUUUAAUGUACACUUCCCCUACCAAAAAACCUAUCACAAGUUUAGCGUCAUGUACAGAUGGACACUGUACAUUUGUAUCUUCCAAAUAUGUUGUUCACACGUUGUCCAUAUGGACACUGAACAUGUACAUGUACACAUUUACUAGUAUUACACAACAUCGUUUUUUACUAUCCACAUGUACACAUAUGUAAUGUACAUCCCACCCGUAAAACACAACUACAAGUUUAGCAUCAUGUACAUACGUAUAGGUCUCCAUGUUGUCCAUAUGGACACUUACCAAGUACAUGUACAAAUUUACAAUUAUUACACCAUAGCUAAAAAUUACUCACUAUGUACACAUGUACAAAGGUUUUCGCUUUGUGCAUAUGUACACUAUUUGGCUAUGUCCAAACUUACCAAUAUCAGAACACAGCUGAAUGCA